rnacentral:piRNA from 1 species
CAAAAGCAGCCCCUAAACAAAAGAUU